rnacentral:lncRNA from 1 species
GCCUCUCCGCACUCGACCUCCCCAAGAGUAGAUGUUUUUUCUUUUAUUUAUAGGCGAGGGAAGAAACUAUGCGGACUUCAAUCAGUUUGGAGUCUGACAGACUUCACAUGGUUUGGAAUUCGGAGGCUUCUAGAAGUCAGAACCGAAGUUAGAACUUAAUUGAUUUUAAGUCCGAUUUUCUGUAAUAUUUUAUCUUCUCUAUAUGGUUUCAGAAAUCUUUCUAUAGAUGAAUAGUUGUGAUAUCAGGAAUCUUCCUGUAGCUUGCU